UGUCAUGGUACAAUCUUGCAG
rnacentral:miRNA from 1 species